ACUCCUACGGGAGGCAGCAGUGGGGAAUAUUGCACAAUGGGGGAAACCCUGAUGCAGCCAUGGCCGCGUGUGUGAAGAAGGCCUUCGGUUGUAAAGCACUUUCAGUUGUUGAGGAAAAGUUAGGUAGUUAAUAACCUGCCCAGCCGUGACGUUAACAACAGAAGAAGCACCGGCUAACUCCGUGCCAGCAGCCGCGGUAAUACGGAGGGUGCGAGCGUUAAUCGGAAUUACUGGGCGUAAAGCGCACGCAGGCGGUUUGUUAAGCUAGAUGUGAAAGCCCCGAGCUCAACUUGGGAUGGUCAUUUAGAACUGGCAGACUAGAGUCUUGGAGAGGGGAGU
rnacentral:rRNA from 1 species